AGCAACAUUGCCUAGUUGAUAGAGCACUGGCCUGAAAGUCAGAAGGACUUGGGUUCUAAUCCCAGUUUUGCCA
rnacentral:tRNA from 1 species